UACGGAAGGCAGCAGUGGGGAAUAUUGCACAAUGGGCGCAAGCCUGAUGCAGCCAUGCCGCGUGUAUGAAGAAGGCCCUUCGGGUUGUAAAGUACUUUCAGUCGUGAGGAAGGUGUUAAGGUUAAUAACCUUAGCAAUUGACGUUAGCGACAGAAGAAGCACCGGCUAACUCCGUGCCAGCAGCCGCGGUAAUACGGAGGGUGCGAGCGUUAAUCGGAAUUACUGGGCGUAAAGGGCACGCAGGCGGUUAAUUAAGUUGGAUGUGAAAUCCCCGGGCUUAACCUGGGAAUGGCAUUCAAGACUGGUUAGCUAGAGUCUUGUAGAGGGGGUAGAAUUCCAUGUGUAGCGGUGAAAUGCGUAGAGAUGUGGAGGAAUACCGGUGCGAAGGCGGCCCCUGGACAAGCUGACGCUCAUGUGCGAAAGCGUGGGGAGCAAACG
rnacentral:rRNA from 1 species